rnacentral:lncRNA from 7 species
GCAACAAGGAAGAAAAUGGAGGAAUUGUGGGGGGAAUCUCUUUAAGGAGAAAGAAGUGGUGGUGAUCAAAUACCUGCUGUCAGAUGAUACAAAAACCUCACUUCAAAUUUUCUGCACAGAGCUGAACAGGUCAAGCGUUUCUCACUUGAGAUUCUUCUCUGUAGCUUCAGUUAAGACCUCAGAAACCUACCCUAACUAAAUUCAUUUGUAUGGCACUUACCUUGGACAUCCUCCAGCAACCAGAGAAAGCAGCUCUUCAAAAUGUGUGGAGGAAGCCACCAGAUCAUGCUGGUCUCUCUGGCACUGUCCUCACCAGGAUGCAGCAUGUGGUGCUAGAUUCACUGUGAGGAAAUGGAGCCAGGCUCAGUGUGCCUGGGCUGGAUGCGAACUGUGGUCUGCAUUGCAUCUGCAUGGUCUUGGGCCAGUGUAUGCAGAGGCAUGUGAAUCUCAGUCUUCCUUGCUGCUGGUAUUCCUAGAUGCACAGCGCAAACCCACAUGUGAAGUGUGGUAAAAAUACUGACAACGAAACUGGAAACGUGAGUGAACACUGCUUGGUCUGUAGGAUUUAGGGAUUGACUCCCCUGGGUUAAUCACUCAUUGACUAGAAAUUGAGUGAUCACCAUUCAGUGCAGCAUGCGCUGUGAAAAGAGUAACAAAAAAGAAAAAUAUCUAAAACCUAUCAUUAUACUAAGGUAGAUAAGCAUGCAAAUAAAUCACAGAUUGAAAAGCAGUCAG